AACGAACGCUGGCGGCAUGCCUAACACAUGCAAGUCGAACGAGACCUUCGGGUCUAGUGGCGCACGGGUGCGUAACGCGUGGGAACCUGCCUUUAGGUUCGGAAUAACUCAGAGAAAUUUGAGCUAAUACCGGAUGAUGUCUUCGGACCAAAGAUUUAUCGCCUUUAGAUGGGCCCGCGUUGGAUUAGCUAGUUGGUGGGGUAAAGGCCUACCAAGGCGACGAUCCAUAGCUGGUCUGAGAGGAUGAUCAGCCACACUGGGACUGAGACACGGCCCAGGCUCCUACGGGAGGCAGCAGUGGGGAAUAUUGGACAAUGGGCGAAAGCCUGAUCCAGCAAUGCCGCGUGAGUGAUGAAGGCCUUAGGGUUGUAAAGCUCUUUUACCCGAGAUGAUAAUGACAGUAUCGGGAGAAUAAGCGCCGGCUAACUCCGUG
rnacentral:rRNA from 1 species